AGAACGAACGCUGGCGGCGUGCUUAACACAUGCAAGUCGAGUGCGCGUGCCGUAGCAAUACGGCAUGGCGCACGGCGCACGGGUGCGUAACACGUGGGCAAUCUGCCCUUCGAUGGGGAAUAACCUCGCGAAAGCGAGGCUAAUUCCGCAUGACAUUCCUUGGACCCUGGUUCGAGGACUCAAAGCCGUAAGGCGUCGAAGGAGGAGCCCGCGCCCGAUUAGCUAGUUGGCGAGGUAACGGCUCACCAAGGCGAAGAUCGGUAGCCGGCCUGAGAGGGCACACGGCCACACUGGCACUGAAACACGGGCCAGACUCCUACGGGAGGCAGCAGUGGGGAAUCUUGCACAAUGGAGGAAACUCUGAUGCAGCGACGCCGCGUGAGCGAUGAAGCCCUUCGGGGUGUAAAGCUCUUUCGACGGGAACGAUAAUGACGGUACCGAAGAAGAAGCUGCGGCUAACUACGUGCCAGCAGCCGCGGUAA
rnacentral:rRNA from 1 species